rnacentral:rRNA from 1 species
GAUGAACGCUGGCGGCGUGCCUAAUACAUGCAAGUCGAGCGAACAGACGAGGAGCUUGCUCCUCUUACGUUAGCGGCGGACGGGUGAGUAACACGUGGAUAACCUACCUAUAAGACUGGGAUAACUUCGGGAAACCGGAUCUAAUACCGGAUAAUAUAUUGAACCGCAUGGUUCAAUAGUGAAAGACGGUUUUGCUGUCACUUAUAGAUGGAUCCGCGCCGCAUUAGCUAGUUGGUAAGGUAACGGCUUACCAAGGCGACGAUGCGUAGCCGACCUGAGAGGGUGAUCGGCCACACUGGAACUGAGACACGGUCCAGACUCCUACGGGAGGCAGCAGUAGGGAAUCUUCCGCAAUGGGCGAAAGCCUGACGGAGCAACGCCGCGUGAGUGAUGAAGGUCUUCGGAUCGUAAAACUCUGUUAGUAGGGAAGAACAAAUGUGUAAGUAACUAUGCACGUCUUGACGGUACCUAAUCAGAAAGCAACGGCUAACUACGUG